rnacentral:rRNA from 1 species
GUGAGUCAUCGAAUCUUUGAACGCACCUUGCGCUCCUUGGUAUUCCGAGGAGCAUGCCUGUUUGAGUGUCAUUAAUAUAUAUCAACCACUCUUCUUGAGAGUGGUUUGGAUGUGGGGGGGUUUGCUGGCCUUUAUGAAGGUUCAGCUCCCCUGAAAUGCAUUAGCAGAACAACCUGUUCAUUCAUUGGUGUGAUAACUAUCUACGCUACUGAGUGCGAGGCAGUUCAGCUCCUAAUCGUCCUUGGACAAAUUUAUCAUUUUAUGUGACCUCAAAUCAGGUAGGACUACCCGCUGAACUUAAGCAUAUCAAUAAGCGGAGG